rnacentral:rRNA from 1 species
UACAUGGGGUGCAAACGUUGCUCGGAAUUAUUGGGCGUAAAGCGCACGUAGGCGGUUUGUUAAGUCGGAUGUGAAAUCCCUCGGCUCAACUGAGGAAGUGCAUCCGAAACUGGCAAGCUUGAGUACGAAAGAGGGUCGCGGAAUUCCCGGUGUAGAGGUGAAAUUCGUAGAUAUCGGGAGGAACACCGGUGGCGAAGGCGGCGGCCUGGGUUGACACUGACGCUGAGGCGCGAAAGCGUGGGGAGCAAACAGG